CAUUGCUUUGCCAGCUGAGAUCAGCAUUUGUGCAGAUGAACAGGUCUUGGCGGGAGUAUGUGACGGCAGCAGCUCCAUAUGACCUGGCUGCCAUUGGCUUAGUGGAAAAUGAAAGCACGCCGUGAAUGAGCUGCCGUGGGACGAACCUGUCGCCCUCAGAGCGUCUCACAGGCGCAGGCACGAGCAGGAGUCCUAGACGGCGGCGCAGAGGCUGGAGGCUGGAGAUGGAGACGCUAAAAAGAGUAUUUUCUCGUAGGACUUUAAGGAGGGGGUCGAGCAUUCUGUCCACGUCAGACAACGUGCAGGAUGAACCUAAACCGGAAGAAGCCCUCCCCCUACAACUGAACCACAUGCCCGAGAAAGAGCCAGCGCAGAAGGAGCAGGAGGAGCAGGAGGAGCAGGAGACGGUGCCGUGUAGGAACCUCUCUGAGCUCCUUCAGAUGCGUCCUGGUUCAGACGUCAACACAUCGGUGGAUGGAGUCCCUUGCCUUGAGUGCACUGACUCAAACUCAGAGCAACAAAAUCAAAAUCAAGGCGGCAAUUGCCUCGUUCAGUUAUAUGUAUCCCAGCAGUUCCCAGAACCACCAGAGAACCAGAACCUUCAUCAGCACCUGCAGAACAUCCAGACCACUGUGCUCAACGAGCUCACGGGGCUGAGUCCUGUGUUGGAUGAGCGUCUGAUGGGUCAUCUGAUCAACUGCUACCAUAGACAGACAUUUAACCAAAUGCAUCGUCUGCUCCAGAACAUCAGCUCCACCCAGAACCACUUUGUGCUGAUGAUGUGGGUCCUGAAAACCUACCUGAGUCAGGAGCUGCUCGGACACCCUGACCUUCAAAAAGUAGAUCCCAUCAAAAGCAUAGACCUGCUGCUGUUUACAGAGUGGGAAGCGAAGGCCAGAGACAAACUGCUUCAGAGCGUGCAUGAAGAAGUCGCCGAGUCUCUGGAGAACAUCCUGCUCAAUGAGAAAACCCAUGAACAAUGCAACAGUGAGGAGGAUUAUGUCAGAGUCUUCGUGGACACCAUUCAGUGCAUCAAAGCUGUGCACAAAGCAGCACAACAAAUCAGCUCAAAGCUGUCUGAUGAUGUUCAGAACGUUUGUUUUCAGCAGCUGCUGGUUUUUGUAAAGAGGUACUCAGACGAGCAGACUGAGGGUCUUGGAAAGAAAGCAGUGAUGCCAGAACCAGAAACAAUUCAAUUCUUAAAGACUCUGAAAACCUGUAAAGAACUCAAACAACACGUUCAAGUUGAAGCUGCUGGAGCUUCGUAUUCAGGGGAAAUUGUUAAAACACUGGACAAGCUGGAGGUUUUCACUCUGAACCUGCUCCUGGACAUCGUCAAUAAAAUGGCAGAGGCUAACCUCAGCACGUACUUCAAAUCAGACAGCAAGUGUUUCUCCUUGCUUCCUGCAGUACAGAAACGGUUUCCAAAGCAGUGCUAUGGUGCAGAUGAACAGAAGAGGGUUUUGAACAAGGCCUACAAGCUCAUAGUUCAGAUUUAUGUCAAACAUCUGAUCAAGACCAACAAGCGUCAACUGGAGAGUUGUUGGAAUCCUGACGUCAGCAAAACCAUCGGUGAAGAUGCUCAUGGAAUUCACAGCAUCAUGUCAGAGCUGGCCCCCGACGUUCCACAGCAGAACCGACUACUGCUGAAGGUCAAGGAGCUGUUGGACUGCGAGUGCAACGAGGCGCUGAAGCUCACAGCUGCGACCAUCCAGGAAGACUUUGGCAAGGACCCAGAGCUCCUGCCUGCCCUGCUCAAGUGGAAGGGCCUUCCUAAAGGGCAGGUGAGGGAGGUGCUGGAGACCAUUCAACACGACUACCACCACCAGUCCUGUUGCUCAUCUGUGAAAUGCUGGUAAAGACAACAGGAGGGGGGUGGUGGUUACUCCUGGUGGACUCCCUACAGACCGGGGUCCUCGGGUUCCCCUCUCCCAGGCUGGGAGUGUUUGCCUCUGGGUCUCCUGGGCUGCUGCAGCUCUGCCCGGGGGUUCUGUGUUCUGUUCCCUCCUGGAACUGAAGGUGUGUGGGCUCCCUGGCUACUGGGUUUCCUCCCUGUGCUCGUUGACUGUGUGUAGCGACUGGGUUCCUCCCAUCAUCACGGCUUGUACAUGUGGCAUUGUUCAUGCACCAACGUCUGUCUCACCUUUUGGGUGAACAAUGUUAAGCUACAGCUUUACUAACCUUGUAGUGGGACGCUCAACACCUCAGCUGAUAAACAGGCUUUGUAAACUUAGCUGUAAGUAUUACUGGUACUUAUCACCAUCAAUAUCAAUAAUGUGUAAUUAUGGUAGUUGUGAUGUUAUGUCACAGCUAUUAUUAAGUAUUAUGCGAUUAUGUAUAAUAAUAUUUAUGCAUAGAUGUGUAUGUACAGUAUAUUAUAUAUGUCUGUAUGCACAAGUGUAUGCACACGCCUUAACACAAGUAUUAAUAGUAAUUUAACAGUUAAAGCACAGUACAGCAGUUAUUUACUUAUGAACGUGUCCGCCUAAGGUAUUUAUUUAUUUAUUUAUUUACUCUAUUUACUGUAUUUCCUAUUUUUUUGCUUCAUUGAUUCGCUUGGUCUCAGUAGGUUUUGCACUCUCUCUACUACUUCCUCUGUAGACUCACAUCCUUCCCAGAUUAGCUGGAAUUACAAUAAAAUGACAGGACCUUGGCUUAAUGACGACUGU
ensembl:lncRNA uncharacterized LOC114849018